AUUGAACGCUGGCGGCAGGCCUAACACAUGCAAGUCGAGCGAGCGGCGGACGGGUGAGUAAUGUAUGGGGCCUGCCCGAUGGCGGGGGAUAACUACGGGAAACGGUGGAGAAUACUGCAUACUACCGGAAAACCCAUAUGGGAUUAGCUAGUAGGUGGGGUAAAGGCUCACCCAGGCGACGAUCUCGAGCUGGUCAGAGAGGACGAUCAGCCACACUGGGACUGGGACACGGCCCAGACUCCGAGGGAGGCAGCAGUGGGGCAUAUUGCACAACGGGCGCAAGAGUGAUGCACCCAUGCCGCGUGUAUGAAGAGGGCCUUAGGGUUAUAAAGUAAUUUCGGCCGGGAGGCGUUACCAGCAGAAGAAGCGCCGGCUAACUCCGUGCCAGCCGCCGCGGUAAUAC
rnacentral:rRNA from 1 species